rnacentral:rRNA from 1 species
UACGUAGGGAGCAAGCGUUGUCCGGAAUCAUUGGGCGUAAAGCGCGCGUAGGCGGCCCGAUAAGUCCGCUGUGAAAGUCGACGGCUCAACUGUUGGAUGCCGGUGGAUACUGUCGGGCUAGAGUACGGAAGAGGCAAGUGGAAUUCCUGGUGUAGCGGUGGAAUGCGCAGAUAUCAGGAGGAACACCUAUAGCGAAGGCAGCUUGCUGGGACGUUACUGACGCUAAGGCGCGAAAGCGUGGGGAGCGAACAGG